rnacentral:rRNA from 1 species
UACGUAGGGGGCAAGCGUUGUCCGGAAUUACUGGGCGUAAAGGGCUCGUAGGCGGCCAACUAAGUCAGACGUGAAAUCCCUCGGCUUAACCGGGGAACUGCAUCUGAUACUGGAUGGCUUGAGAUUGGGAGAGGGAUGCGGAAUUCCAGGUGUAGCGGUGAAAUGCGUAGAUAUCUGGAGGAACACCGGUGGCGAAGGCGGCAUCCUGGACCAACACUGACGCUGAGGAGCGAAAGCCAGGGGAGCAAACGGG